GUAGGGAAUAUUGGACAAUGGGCGCAAGCCUGAUCCAGCCAUGCCGCGUGAGUGAAGAAGGCCCUCGGGUUGUAAAGCUCUUUUGUUGGGGAAGAAAAGCAGUUGGUUAAUACCCGAUUGUUCUGACGGUACCCAAAGAAUAAGCACCGGCUAACUUCGUGCCAGCAGCCGCGGUAAUACGAAGGGUGCAAGCGUUACUCGGAAUUACUGGGCGUAAAGCGUGCGUAGGUGGUUGUUUAAGUCUGAUGUGAAAGCCCUGGGCUCAACCUGGGAAUGGCAUUGGAUACUGGAUAGCUAGAGUGCGGUAGAGGGUAGUGGAAUUCCCGGUGUAGCAGUGAAAUGCGUAGAGAUCGGGAGGAACAUCCGUGGCGAAGGCGACUACCUGGGCCAGCACUGACACUGAGGCACGAAAGCGUGGGGAGCAAACAGGAUUAGAAACCCCUGUAGUCC
rnacentral:rRNA from 1 species